CCCAAGAAUAAAACCAACUUGAAGAAUGAUAUGAACUGUUUAGAGGUGCUUUCCAAACCUCGUUCCAGAUUUGGGGUCUGAAGAUGCAAAGGAAAUGGCUUUUACCACAUUUCACUUGAGAUGAUGCGAUCGAGACUGGAUGUUUCCUCUGCCCUGUUAGCUACUGUACUGGCUGAGUUCUGCAAGCUUCCUUGCUAGGAGAAAGCUGAUGGGAAGAAGAAUGUGAAUGUGACAGUAAAGAGCUCUGAGCUUCCCUGAGAAGGGUGCCACGUAAUC